rnacentral:rRNA from 1 species
CGACCACGAGACCGAUAGCGAACAAGUACCGUGAGGGAAAGUUGAAAAGAACUUUGAAGAGAGAGUUCAAUAGUACGUGAAACCGUUCAGGGGUAAACGGGAGAGACCCGAAAGAACGAAGGGGGAGACUCAAUCCCGUCCGCGUGUCCGGUCCUCGGCGGCCACGGAUGUCCCCGGUCGCCCACCGCGCCCUACGGCGCGCGCAGGUCACGAUCCGAGGGCACCGGCCGUCCGGGUUCACUCCCGGCCGCGGCGGGAUGCACUUCUCCUCCAGUAGGACGUCGCGACCCGCCGGGUACACUAGUGAGCCGGUCUAAGGCACUCGGGGUGGAGCCCGAGGGAACCGCCGCGGAAACGUGGGUCCACGGUUCCCCGGACCCCCGGUCGCCCGGCCGGCGCCCGGUGGUAAAUCUCGCGGAGCAGGCCCGCUAACCCUACAGUAGCGAGCGUCCGGCCCGGAGGGCAAGCUCUUCGGCGGUGCUCGAGGUGCCGUGGCCUCAGCCACGUCCCCGGCCCCCGUCGGCUGCUGGCCCCCGGAGUCCUCGGACGGUAGCCCGUCUCCCGUUAGCGGCGCUCACGCUUCGGGUGCUCUCCCGACCCGUCUUGAAACACGGACCAAGGAGUCUAACAUGUGCGCGAGUCACUGGGAUUUCGGAGAAAACCCAGAGGCGAAGUGAAAGCGGGGCGAACCCUUUGCGGUCGCCCGGGGAGGACGGCGUCGGGUCAACCGGCGCCCGCACUCCCGGGGCGCCUCGGCCUCCGGCCGCAGGCGCACCCGGAGCGUACACGUUGGGACCCGAAAGAUGGUGAACUAUGCCUGGUCAGGACGAAGUCAGGGGAAACCCUGAUGGAGGUCCGCAGCGAUUCUGACGUGCAAAUCGAUCGUCAGAGCUGGGUAUAGGGGCGAAAGACUAAUCGAACCAUCUAGUAGCUGGUUCCCUCCGAAGUUUCCCUCAGGAUAGCUGGCGUCCAUUUCGACCGGGACGAGUCUCAUCCGGUAAAGCGAAUGAUUAGAGGCCUUGGGGCCGAAACGACCUCAACCUAUUCUCAAACUUUAAAUGGGUGAGAUCUCCGGCUUGCUUGGCUGAAGCCGCGAGGUCUGGAUCAGGGUGCCAAGUGGGCCAUUUUUGGUAAGCAGAACCGGCGCUGUGGGAUGAACCAAACGCCGGGUUAAGGCGCCUAAACCGGAGCUCACGGGAAACCAUGAAAGGCGUUGGUUGCUUAAGACAGCAGGACGGUGGCCAUGGAAGUCGGAAGCCGCUAAGGAGUGUGUAACAACUCACCUGCCGAAGCAACUAGCCCUGAAAAUGGAUGGCGCUAAAGCUCCGUGCCUAUACCCGGCCGCCGGCAGGCAAGGGCGGCCGCCCUUGGGGCGGUCGCGCGAAGCCCCGGUGAGUAGGAGGGCGCGGCGGUGAGCGCGGAAGGGUCUGGGCGCGAGCCUGCCUGGAGCCGCCGCCGGUGCAGAUCUUGGUGGUAGUAGCAAAUACUCAAGCGAGGGCCUUGAGGGCUGAUGUGGAGAAGGGUUUCGUGUGAACAGCCGUUGCACACGAGUCAGUCGAUCCUAAGCUCUAGGAGAAAUCCGAUGUUGAUCAGGGGCAUUGUGAGAGCAAUGACGCCCCCUUCGAGCGAAAGGGAAUCCGGUUCCUAUUCCGGAACCCGGCAGCGGAACCGACUCGUCGGGCCCUCGCAAGAGAAGCUCGUCGGGGUAACCCAAAAGGACCCGGAGACGCCGUCGGGAGACCCGGGCAGAGUUUUCUGUUCUGCAUAAGCGUUCGAGUUCCCUGGAAUCCUCUAGCAGGGAGAUAGGGUUUGGAACGCGAAGAGCACCGCAGUUGCGGCGGUGUCCGGGUCGUCCCCUCGGACCUUGAAAAUCCGGGAGAGGGCUACGCGGAGGUGUCGCGCCGGCUCGUACCCAUAUCCGCAGCAGGUCUCCAAGGUGAAGAGCCUCUAGUCGAUAGACUAAUGUAGGUAAGGGAAGUCGGCAAAUUGGAUCCGUAACUUCGGGAUAAGGAUUGGCUCUGAGGACCGGGGCGCGUCGGGCGUGGUCGGGAAGCGGGUCUGCGCCAACGUGCCGGGCCUGGGCGAGGCGAUGUCGUGCCGGGUCCCCUCCCCCCCUCCUCGCGGGGGUGGCGGCGGGGGGUUUCCCCGGUGCGUCGGAUCCGAGUUCGGUCCCGUGCCUUGGCCUCCCGCGGAUCUUCCACGCUGCGAGGGACCGCGCUCGCCCGCGGUGCACUCUUCGGCCGCCACUCAACGGUCGACUCAGAACUGGCACGGACUUGGGGAAUCCGACUGUCUAAUUAAAACAAAGCAUUGCGAGGGCCCUAGCGGGUGCUGACGCAAUGUGAUUUCUGCCCAGUGCUCUGAAUGUCAACGUGAAGAAAUUCAAGCAAGCGCGGGUAAACGGCGGGAGUAACUAUGACUCUUCGCGCGCCGCCUCCUCGUGGUCCCGCUGGAAACGUACUAGUCUUAGGACUUGAUACGGCCAAAGGCGCGCGGAGGGCCGCCCAUACAGGGCAACCACUGCCUCCACGCGGCUCCCCGUGGAAACCCUCCCGCCUAACUGGGAGGGGCUAAAUGUGGUCGGGUGGCCCUCGGGCCCCUUGGUUUUUUUGGGGAAACCUCGGGGCCGGUUGCUCCCCAAUUGAACGAUCGGCACUCACCUUGACGACGAUUUUGGUUUGCAGGGCGAACCUACGGGGCGCCCGAACCCCGCAUACCAUGAGAUGACUUAUCAGGGUAAAAGCCUCGGACCUGAGGAUACCCAAGCUCCCGGGCCCUCAGGACUGGUAGGGGAGCAACAUCGACGGACCGGCAUGAUGACGGACGGUGAGUAUGGCUUCCUUUUAAACGACGAA